GGGUAUUUAGCUCAGUGGCAUAAGCACUUGCCUUGCAAGCAGGCGGUUGUGAAUUCGAUCCCCAGUACCAA
rfam:Cavia porcellus supercont2_79 genomic scaffold, whole genome shotgun sequence.